ACCGCCCAUACUCUACACACUGUUGAAUUCCUUUUGUUUUCAUAAAAUAGCUACAUCUGUCUUAAAGGCAUUGCAGCAGCUCUCUAUCAACGCAUAUCUUUUACAGGAGGUCACAGAACAUCGCAUACAAAAAAUGUCAAGUUGGGGCAAUCUGGAUGAAGUGGGUGAAGAGUGGUGGGACAAUGCAUAUAAGUUGUUUCUUGAAAGUGAACCAAUAAGAACCACCCUGAGUAAUGUUGCUUAUUAUAUGAGUGACAACACAUGGAAUGAUUAUGGAUUCAGCUGUGACACACAUGUUCCUCCAGCUGGGAAAUUCUGUGGUGUUUCUAGAAGGGCAAUUCUGGUGGUGAUUUCCAGAACGAGGAGAAUGGAGUGGGGUGACUGGAAGAAGCUACGUCAGGCAUCUUCUGAACCUAAGGAUCUAGACAGCAGUGACAAGACACUUAUAAACUGGGUUACUGACCUGGUGUAUAAUGAGGACGGCAGCCCUAAACCAUUCAACAGAAAGACUUAACGAUAUUAAUGAUAAUCAGAAUGAUGUCAGAAUGUUAGCCAAAGUUCUGUUCAAAGCUGUUUUUAUUAUAUGGCUUUUCCUAAUAUUAUUAUUAAUAGUUCCAUCAGUUAAUCAUUCAUACAGUAGUUAAUCAUUUGCAUUUACAUUUGCAUCUAUAAGAGACUAUUGCAUGCUUUCAAAAGCGUUUAUCAUGUUUGUUUGAGAACGUCCAUAGGUCCAUAGUAAUGAUCACUUAUUCAUCGUUAACUCAAAAUCAAGGUCUUCUUUUGUUUUUAUCUGCAGUUAAAAUAAAGCAAUGAUGUAUGUCCAGUAUUGUGAUUCUGGCUGCAAUAAACAUCCAUUCAAAAAGGCAAA